ACGUAGGUGGCAAGCGUUGUUCGGAAUUAUUGGGCGUAAAGGGCGAGUAGGUGGCCAUCUAAGUCAGACGUGAAAUCCCCCGGCUUAACCUGGGAACUGCGUCUGAUACUGGACGGCUUGAGUAUGGGAGAGGAACGUAGAAUUCCAGGUGUAGCGGUGAAAUGCGUAGAUAUCUGGAGGAAUACCGGUGGCGAAGGCGGCAUCCUGGACCGACAUUGACGCUGAGGAGCGAAAGCUAGGGGAGCAAACGGGA
rnacentral:rRNA from 1 species